GCUUCUUUUUCCACCGGAGCUUGCUCCACCGGAAAAAGAGGAGUGGCGAACGGGUGAGUAACACGUGGGUAACCUGCCCAUCAGAAGGGGAUAACACUUGGAAACAGGUGCUAAUACCGUAUAACAAUCGAAACCGCAUGGUUUUGAUUUGAAAGGCGCUUUCGGGUGUCGCUGAUGGAUGGACCCGCGGUGCAUUAGCUAGUUGGUGAGGUAACGGCUUACCAAGGCCACGAUGCAUAGCCGACCUGAGAGGGUGAUCGGCCACAUUGGGACUGAGACACGGCCCAAACUCCUACGGGAGGCAGCAGUAGGGAAUCUUCGGCAAUGGACGAAAGUCUGACCGAGCAACGCCGCGUGAGUGAAGAAGGUUUUCGGAUCGUAAAACUCUGUUGUUAGAGAAGAACAAGGAUGAGAGUAACUGUUCAUCCCUUGACGGUAUCUAACCAGAAAGCCACGGCUAACUACGUGCCAGCAGCCGCGGUAAUACGUAGGUGGCAAGCGUUGUCCGGAUUUAUUGGGCGUAAAGCGAGCGCAGGCGGUUUCUUAAGUCUGAUGUGAAAGCCCCCGGCUCAACCGGGGAGGGUCAUUGGAAACUGGGAGACUUGAGUGCAGAAGAGGAGAGUGGAAUUCCAUGUGUAGCGGUGAAAUGCGUAGAUAUAUGGAGGAACACCAGUGGCGAAGGCGGCUCUCUGGUCUGUAACUGACGCUGAAGCUCGAAAGCG
rnacentral:rRNA from 1 species